rnacentral:misc_RNA from 1 species
AACGCACGAGACCUGCGGACCUGCGGAGGGAUCAUUACUGAGUGAGGGCCCUCUGGGUCCAACCUCCCACCCGUGUUUAACGAACCUUGUUGCUUCGGCGGGCCCGCCUCACGGCCGCCGGGGGGUAUCCGCCCCCGGGCCCGCGCCCGCCGAAGCCACCUGUGAACGCUGUCUGAAGUUGCAGUCUGAGAAAAUUAUUAAAUUAAUUAAAACUUUUAGCAACGGAUCUCUAGAUCGGAA